AUUGAACGCUGGCGGCAUGCCUUACACAUGCAAGUCGAACGGCAGCAGGAACUUUCUUGCUGGAUUGAUCGCGAGUGGCGUACGGGUGAGUUAUACAUCGGAACGUGCCCUGGAGUGAGGGAUAACUAGUCGAAGGAUUAGCUACUACCGCCUACGACCUGAGGGUGAAGGUGGGGGACCGCAAGCCCUCAUGCUAUAGGAGCGGCCGAUGUCUGAUUAGCUAGUUGGUGAGGUAAAGGCUCACCAAGGCGACGAUCAGUAGCUGGUCUGAGAGGAUGAUCAGCCACACUGGGACUGAGACACGGCCCAGACUCCUACGGGAGGCAGCAGUGGGGAAUUUUGGACAAUGGGCGAAAGCCUGAUCCAGCAAUGCCGCGUGUGUGAAGAAGGCCUUCGGGUUGUAAAGCACUUUUGGUCGGAAAGAAAGGGCUCUGGUUAAUACCUGGGGUUGUUGACGUUACCGGAAGAAUAAGGACCGGCUAACUACGUG
rnacentral:rRNA from 1 species